AACAAAUAUGAGAAGAAAAGAAAAACAAAAGAAAUUAAAAAGUCAAACAAUGUUGAUGACGAUGUUGAGAACUCUUUGUGCUAAUGAAUCUGAAGAAGACAUGGAGGAAGAGUUGUUCUGGCUGAGAUACAAAAAUUAGCUGAGAUUACCCCAUUGUGUCCCAAGCUUGUAAUUUCUACGAAAAGAAAGGGACUGUGGUCUGUAUAUGGUAACAUACGCAGAGUGUCUUUCUUAUGGUAAAAGAGUUCCUUUGAUUGAGUUCAAACCCAACACACUUCGUACAUAUUGCUGCACUAUUGUGGGACUAUAUAUGGCAUGGGAAAACAUGAAGCAAAUGCUCAUAGCGAUGUCGAAGCACCCUUAAGGCCUGGCAGGCAAAACCGAAUAACUAGUGUCACUGAAGUUUUAGAAAUAUGAUGAUUGUUGAAUUUAUUACAUUGGAUAGUCGACAAACUGGUGUA